GAUGAAGAACGCAGCGAAAUGCGAUAAGUAAUGCGAAUUGCAGAAUUUCCGUGAGUCAUCGAAUCUUUGAACGCACAUUGCGCCCGCCAGUAUUCUGGCGGGCAUGCCUGUUCGAGCGUCAUUUCAACCAUCAAGCCCCAGGCUUGUGUUGGAGCCCUGCGGCUGCCGCAGCCUCCCAAAACCAGUGGCGGGCUCGCUAUCACACCGAGUGCAGUAGUUUACUCUUCGCUCAGGGCGUGUGGCGGGUGCUAGCCGUAAAACCCCCAACUUCUCAAGGUUGACCUCGGAUCAGGUAGGAAUACCCGCUGAACUUAAGCAUAUCAAUAAGCGGAGG
rnacentral:misc_RNA from 1 species